rnacentral:rRNA from 1 species
CGCAGCCCGGGCCCCCCCGGGGGUCGCGGGGCGCCCGCCGGAGGUACGAAACUCUGUAUUAUAGUGGCAUCUCUGAUUAAAAAACAAAUAAGUUAAAACUUUCAACAACGGAUCUCUUGGUUCUGGCAUCGAUGAAGAACGCAGCGAAAUGCGAUAAGUAAUGUGAAUUGCAGAAUUCAGUGAAUCAUCGAAUCUUUGAACGCACAUUGCGCCCGCCAGUACUCUGGCGGGCAUGCCUGUCCGAGCGUCAUUUCAACCCUCAAGCCCUGCUUGGUGUUGGGGCCCUACGUCUGACGUAGGCCCUGAAAGGAAGUGGCGGGCUCGCUACAACUCCGAGCGUAGUAAUUCAUUAUCUCGCUAGGGAAGUGUGGCGUGCUCCUGCCGUUAAAGACCCCAUCUUUAACCAAGGUGACCUCGAUCAGUAGAUCCCGGU